UACGUAGGGCGCAAGCGUUGUCCGGAAUUAUUGGGCGUAAAGAGCUCGUAGGUGGCUUGUCGCGUCUGCCGUGAAAGCCCAUGGCUUAACUGUGGGUCUGCGGUGGAUACGGGCAGGCUGGAGGCUGGUAGGGGCAAGCGGAAUUCCUGGUGUAGCGGUGAAAUGCGCAGAUAUCAGGAGGAACACCGGUGGCGAAGGCGGCUUGCUGGGCCAGUUCUGACGCUGAGGAGCGAAAGCCAGGGGAGCAAACGGG
rnacentral:rRNA from 1 species